rfam:Magnaporthe poae ATCC 64411 unplaced genomic scaffold supercont1.2, whole genome shotgun sequence.
GCCUUCGGGCAUUUGGUCGAUUUGAAACGAUACAGGGAAGAUUAGCAUGGCCCCUGCACUAAGGAUGACACGCUCAAUCAAAGAGAAGCUCAACAUUUUU